rnacentral:rRNA from 1 species
CAUGGAGGGUGAGAAUCCCGUACGGCCAUCAUUGCUCGUGUACGAUACGCUUUCAAAGAGUCAAGUUGUUUGGGAUUGCAGCUUAAAAUGGGAGGUAAAUUUCUCCUAAGGCUAAAUAUUGGCGAGAGACCGAUAGCGAACAAGUACCGUGAGGGAAAGAUGAAAAGCACUUUGAAAAGAGAGUUAAAUAGUACGUGAAAUUGUUGAAAGGGAAACGAUUGAAGCCAGUCGUACCGACGGAGAAUCAACCUUUGGAAUGCGAAUCGAGGUAUUCGAAGAGUUUAAAAGCCUUAGUGUGCUUUCGCAUUCGUGCUUCAUGGGUGCACUUCUUCGUAUGGUAGGUUAACAUCAAUUUUGGACGUUACAAAAUGAUCGGGGGAAUGUAGCUUCGAUUUUUCGAAGUGUUAUAGCCCUUGGUAGAUGUGACGACCGGGAUUGAGGAUUGCAACGAAUGCUUUCGGGCUAUCCGUCUGACCUCUGGCGGUCGCUCUGGGGUCGAAAGCGUGCUUACGACUUCAGAGUUUGGCUAUCAAAAGGCUAGAACGUGAUUAAAAUUCGUUAAGGAUGUUGACGUAAUGG